rnacentral:rRNA from 1 species
UACGUAGGGGGGCAAGCGUUGUCCGGAAUCAUUGGGCGUAAAGCGCGUGUAGGCGGCCCGGUAAGUCCGCUGUGAAAGUCGGGGGCUCAACCCUCGGAUGCCGGUGGAUACUGUCGGGCUAGAGUGCGGAAGAGGCGAGUGGAAUUCCUGGUGUAGCGGUGAAAUGCGCAGAUAUCAGGGAGGAACACCGGUGGCGAAGGCGGGUCUCUGGGCCGUAACUGACGCUGAGGAGCGAAAGCCGUGGGGAGCGAACAGG